UGGGGGAUUAGCUCAGCUGGGAGAGCGCCUGCUUUGCACGCAGGAGGUCAUCGGUUCGAUCCCGUUAUCCUCCAU
rnacentral:tRNA from 1 species